AUUGAACGCUGGCGGCAUGCCUUACAUGCAAGUCGAACGGUAACGCGGGGCAACCUGGCGACGAGUGGCGAACGGGUGGGUAAUACAUCGGAACGUGCCCAGUAGUGGGGGAUAGCCCGGCGAAAGCCGGAUUAAUACCGCAUACGACCUACGGGUGAAAGCGGGGGAUCGCAAGACCUCGCGCUAUCGGAGCGGCCGAUGUCAGAUUAGCUAGUUGGUGGGGUAAAGGCCUACCAAGGCGACGAUCUGUAGCUGGUCUGAGAGGACGACCAGCCACACUGGGACUGAGACACGGCCCAGACUCCUACGGGAGGCAGCAGUGGGGAAUUUUGGACAAUGGGCGCAAGCCUGAUCCAGCCAUGCCGCGUGCGGGAAGAAGGCCUUCGGGUUGUAAACCGCUUUUGUCAGGGAAGAAACGCUCCGAGCUAAUACCUCGGAGUAAUGACGGUACCUGAAGAAUAAGCACCGGCUAACUACGUGCCAGCCGCCGCGGUAACAC
rnacentral:rRNA from 1 species